GACGAACGCUGGCGGCGUGCUUAACACAUGCAAGUCGAACGGCAAGGCCCUGCUUUUGUGGGGUGCUCGAGUGGCGAACGGGUGAGUAACACGUGAGUAACCUGCCCUUGACUUUGGGAUAACUUCAGGAAACUGGGGCUAAUACCGGAUAGGAGCUCCUGCUGCAUGGUGGGGGUUGGAAAGUUUCGGCGGUUGGGGAUGGACUCGCGGCUUAUCCGCUUGUUGGUGGGGUAGUGGCAUACCAAGGCUUUGACGGGUAGCCGGCCUGAGAGGGUGACCGGCCACAUUGGGACUGAGAUACGGCCCAGACGCCUACGGGAGGCAGCAGUGGGGAAUAUUGCACAAUGGGCGGAAGCCUGAUGCAGCAACGCCGCGUGCGGGAUGACGGCCUUCGGGUUGUAAACCGCUUUCGCCUGUGACGAAGCGUGAGUGACGGUAAUGGGUAAAGAAGCACCGGCUAACUACGUG
rnacentral:rRNA from 1 species